GACGAACGCUGGCGGCGUGCUUAACACAUGCAAGUCGAACGGGUCUGCCCUGUUUUUUGCGGGGUGGGUCAGUGGCGAACGGGUGAGUAACACGUGAGUAACCUGCCCCUCACUUCUGGAUAACCGCUUGAAAGGGUGGCUAAUACGGGGUGUUCUGGCUGUGCCGCAUGGUGUGGCUGGGAAAGAUUCACUUUUGUGGUGUUUUGGUGGGGGAUGGGCUCGCGGCCUAUCAGCUUGUUGGUGGGGUGAUGGCCUGCCAAGGCUUUGAGGGGUAGCCGGCCUGAGAGGGUGGGCGGUCACACUGGGACUGAGAUACGGCCCAGACUCCUGCGGGAGGCAGCAGUGGGGGGUAUUGCACAAUGGGCGGAAGCCUGAUGCAGCGACGUCGCGUGAGGGAUGGAGGCCUUCGGGUUGUGAACCUCUUUCGCCGGUGAAGAAGGUCCUGCUCUUUGUGGUGGGGUUGACGGUAGCCGGGUUAUGAAGCGCCGGCUAACUACGUG
rnacentral:rRNA from 1 species